UACAUCAAGUGAUGAAAAUGGAAUAAUCUUAGGACACCUUCCUACACAGUAAUAAUGUCUGCUGUGGAUGAGAACAACUUUCCAUUCUGAUGAUGAU